UUCCUUCUUCUCUGCUGCUUGUUUCCUUUUUUCUUUGUGCAAGGGCGGAUCCCCCGCCCAGCGGCCCCCUAGGCCUGGCCCUACAGGGAUCCUAGGAGGAGGUAAAUCAGCGGUGAAUGCUAGUCCGGGUAAAGCGUGAUAUCUCCGGAAUUUAAUACAGCCGAUCCAGAUUAUUCAUCCAGUGCGCGUCCGUAGACCUUCGACCCUACGACUCAUUGUGCAAGGAUGUCACGCCUUAAUCGGUUGACCCAGCCCGCGGGGGCGGUGGGUGGGUGGAGGUCAGGAUGACGGUGAAGAAGACGAGGAGGGUUGCCGAGGAGCCCUCGCCAUCCCCUUCGUGCGCCCCUUAUAGAGAUGAUGCUAGGAAAAGAGUUAGAUUCCAAUCGCUCUCGCAAGAUUAUACGGAGUUUCUUGAGGAAACUGAAGAAAAGAAGAGGAGAUUGCUGGAGGCAAGACUAAGGAAACGUAAACUCUUUGCUGAAGCCAGAUUUUUGAGAAGAAAACUUAGACCUUAUUUGCAAACCCGUAUCAGCAAGUUAGAUUGAAGGAACCAUCAAGUAAAACUCCAGUGAUCAAACCUCCUACAGAAAAGAAACUCAGAGUAUCUGAAGCUGCAUGGGCAAGUAACUACAGUAUCGAUAACUUGUCUGCAAAUGCAUCUCAGUAUCAGUUUAAAAAGAGGAAACUGAAUAAAAGAAGAGGAGAUUGCUGGAGGCAAGACUAAGGAAACGUAAACUCUUUGCUGAAGCCAGAUUUUUGAGAAGAAAACUUGAUACCUCACUUGCAAACCCGUAUCAGCAAGUUAGAUUGAAGGAACCAUCGAGUACAAUUCCAGUGAUCAAACCUCCUACAGAAAAGAAACCCAAUGUAUCUGGAGCUGCACGUACAAGUAACUACAUUAUAGAUAACUUGUACGCAAAUGCAUCUCAGUAUCAGUUUAAAAAGAUGUUUCAGAAAAAGCCAACCAAAUCUCUUUGUGUUGCACAAUCUUUGGGUUUUAGGAAGGCCCCCCCUCAAAACAUGAUGACAAUGGAAGCUACAAAUGCUAGCACUUCUGCAACUCUAGGUGCGAAUGAAGUAUCGUUUAAGAAUGGGGAGGAACUGAACAAGUUUCAGUUGGAGCAGUAUUACAUACAAAUGGAGACUCAAUAGAGUGCCUAUGAUUGGAGGAGGCUCAAAUGAUAAGUUAGUGAGUUGCAGAGAUCUUGGAAACAACUCAAAGAAGACCGGUAAGCGAAAACUCUCAUGGCGAGACCCACCGACUAGUGUUGAAGGCUUGAAGUCUUGAUGCAAAUUUUGUUUUGCAAGAGUUGACACAGAAUAUAACUCUCUUCUCAGUUGCGAUUAGCUCAUGCAAGAUGAGAUGGAGAGCAAUCUGUUUUACUGUCACUAAAUGGUUCGUCCAUGUUCAUCGCGAGUUUGCCUGUCUUUAAUCGAAAUGGUAGUUUCCAUUUGAAUUCUUUCAA